AUUUUUCUGUGUCUUCUUGGAAUAACUAUUUUGCAUUAUCAGCAACCAUGAAUCUAGAACUAAUUUGAGAGAAACUUUUUUUUUUUUUUUUUUUAAAUCACAGUCUGUUUUCUUCACCAAAGAUAUUGUAAACCUUCAAAGCUCCCUGACCACCAGAAGCAUUGUACCUCUCAUUGGUCCUAGUGGUGGGAGAAGAGAAUGAAGACAUAACCUGUUUCCUAUUUCGACUGGUACACCCGAGUGAAUGGGGCUCUGCAUAAGAUUCUGUUCGUUGACCACCCAGAGUUAAGACGGAAGCUAGGAAAAGAACUCAGAACACACACACCUACUCAUGGAAAUUCUGCUGUCUAGGGCGGAAAGCAAAGCCAGCUACCACGGAUGGGAACCAAAAACGGUAUUUUAGGAUACUUUUGAAAGCUAAACACUUUGUCAUAGAUUUUACCACACUAUUUCUGAAUCAAAGCAAGAGCAAAUGCAAUUUUGCUUGCCUUGAAAAUGGGCAGCUGUUCAACGUGAAGAAAGCUGAGAUCAAUCUAAUUGUCUGUACUCUCAGGAAAAUUAGAGGUGAUCAUGAACCACAAUAACAGGAAGGGUGAAUGCUGAUUUCUCCACAAUUUUUCCAGCUUUGUUGAGGAGCAGUGAUCCUUCUUCUAUUCCAAUUGGUGGCAUUUCAGGCACACCCCACAGCUUCUCUGGCUACUUCUGUUUCUCAAUCUAGUUCCAGGACCAACUUAAUCACACUUCCAUCUCAGAUGCAAUUCACAUCUCUCCCUUCCUCCUUCCCACAGAGCAGGCCUGGUGUGAGAAGGUAGGCAGGGAUGGGAAGGGAGGCUGGGUCUGAUUUUGUUGUUGAUGUCAUCUCUGUGUUCUUCCUCAUCUCCCAUUCCUUGGUGGGUUCUAGUCUAUCGAGCAUCACGCUCUAUGUCUAGGGACCACGUGAUUAGAGGAAAUGCUAUGUGAUGGAUGUUAUGGUAAUUCGACCUUCGCUUCC
rnacentral:lncRNA from 1 species